rnacentral:rRNA from 1 species
AGCAGCCGCGGUAAUUCCAGCUCCAAUAGCGUAUAUUAAAGUUGUUGCAGUUAAAAAGCUCGUAGUUGAAUUUCGGGAUCAAUAUAUCGGUCGUGCCAUCGGUACGUACUGGUAUGAUUGGUUUCUCCUUUCUGACGAACCAUGAUGUCAUUAAUUUGGUGUUAUGGGAAGUUAGGACUGUUACUUUGAAAAAAUUAGAGUGUUUAAAGCAGGCUUUGGCUUGAAUACAUUAGCAUGGAAUAAUGAAAUAGGACGUUCGAACCUAUUUUGUUGGUUUCUAGGAUUGACGUAAUGAUUAAUAGGGAUAGUUGGGGGCAUUAGUAUUCAAUUGUCAGAGGUGAAAUUCUUGGAUUUAU